rnacentral:lncRNA from 1 species
UAUAUAUGGGAAAGGUUAUGGCGUUAUAUACGCACCACCACCUGAUCAGCCGGUAUACGACGAUGAUUUUGACCACAGUGGCCGAUAUGAUAUGAUGGGAUGCCCUUAGAGGCUGAUGAUGUUAUGAGACAUGUACCUAUGCACGACAUGACAUUCAUACACUUAUGCAUGACGCUAAAAGUAAUUUAUGAUUUACAAAGUUAUUCAGACUUACAGGUCGACUCAUGUACUCUAUAUUUCUUCCAUAUCUCUUAUAAACUUAUUUAUGUGUCUUACAUACUCGGUACAUUAUUCGUACUGACGUCCCUUUUGCCUGAGGACGCUGUGUUUCAUGCUAGUAGGUCCCGAUAGAUAGGUCGAGAGUCAUCCAAGUAGGCUAUCAGCUCAGCGGAAGAUGUUGGUGCGCUCAAUUUGCUUCAGAGUUACUUGUUUGGUUAGUAUGAUUUAGACGUGUAUUGUUUGGUAUGGCGGGACUCUAUCCUAACCUUUAUAACAUUUAUGUACUCUUAGAGGCUUGUAGACAUAUGUCGUAUACGUGAAAGAUUGUAUGGCCUUGUCGGCCUAUGUUUUGAGUUUAUAAAUGAUUAUGUUGGCCUAUUAGGCCCGUAUGUCACGUGUAAUGAUGAUGUAAUAAGAAAGAUACGUUACGUUGGUACUCGGUCCUGAAAGGUAUCGGGUGCCUGUCGCGGCCCAUCAGUUUGGGUCGUGACAGUUGGGUUAAGAUUGGUUAUAGUUGUUUCUCCCUUGCUGGGACGUAUUUACUUUACUGUCGAUUGCUUUGCCGGGAUAGUGUAGAUCUUUGUUGAUCCCUUAUCGGGACUCUUGUUGUGGUUGUUGUUAAAUGUUAUAUGUGGAUCGGGUUACACAUCGCAACAAUGUUAUAUGUGGAUCGGGUUGCACGCCGCAACAAUGUUAUAUAUGGAUCGGGUUGCAUGCCGCAAUAAUGUUAUAUUGGAUCGGGUUGCACACCGCAACAGUGAUAUAAAUGAAUCAGGUUUCACGCCGCAACAGUGUUAAAUAUAGGGACGGGUUGCACGCCGCAACAGUGUUAAAUGAUAGGGAUCGGGUUGCACACUGCAACAGUGUUAAAUGAUAAGGAUCGGGUUGCGCGCCGCAACAAUGUUAUUAUUGUUUUGUUGUUGUAGAUUUUGAAGUGUUCUCGCAUAUGUAUCUUGAGUUUCUACUGGAUUUGAUAUUUCCCCCGUAGCAUGUACCCUCUCCCAUGUUAAUUGUUUAUUCCUGUUUAUUUUUCGUUGUAUAUUAUAUAACUACACUGGUUUAUCUGGAGUCUGGUCCUAGCCUCGUCACUACCUUGUCGGGGUUAGGCCAGGCACUUACCAGCACAUGGGGUCGGUUGUGCUGAUGCUACAUUCUGCACUAUGUGCAGAUUUCGGAGCAUCCUUUGGAUAGUAGCACUUGGGGAGCCUGCCUUCAGUCCAACCAGAGAUCCCGAGGUAGUCCUGCAGGCGUCCGCAGGCCCGGCGUUCUCUUCUACUUUAUUAUGUACUCUGUUUUUAUUAGAUUUCGAGACAGAUUGUAUUUCUUUCAGACAUUUGUUGUAGUAAUCUUAGUCCAUUCGUGAUAUUGUGACACCAGAUUCCGGAUAGAGAUGUGAGUUGUCAUUAUCGUACUGGUUUUGGUUAUUAUAUUAGAUUAAGUCUUCCGCUUGAUUUUAUUUAUCGGUAAUAUCUAAAUGUUGGUUACUUGUUAAAUUUAGAUUGUUAAAAAGGGUUAAAAAUGAAAGAGUUAGCAAUUUCUAU